GCCUGAAUUCCACUGGAUCGCAAACUUGCAGGCAAGUACUUGAGAGGGCACAGGUUGCACAUUGCAGUAGUAUUAUUUUAAAAAGGAAAAGAGAAGAGACUAGAGUGAAAAUGAAAAGGCUGAAGAUGUCUCACCUACUGGUUGUUAGCAUAAUUUUGGCGAGAAAAGAUGGAAAAGGUAGCUAGCGGGAGAUUUUGAGAGGAUUGAACACAACAGCUCAACGGUUUUCCAGAUCAGAUUGACAUUUAUGGUCAGUGGUCACAUACCCACAUGUAUUAGUCCUCACAAAUAUUAUAUUUAUAUGCCUGUAUGGUAUUGGACUGCUUUGGAUACAAGUCUUCUAUUCCAGUGACUUUUUACCCAUCCAAUUAGGUCUGGAGCCUGUCCUUGUACCAGGAAAACAAUCAUCUUCUAUACAAUGACUUAUCACUUACUUAA